rnacentral:rRNA from 1 species
GACGAACGCUGGCGGCGUGCUUAACACAUGCAAGUCGAACGGAAAGGCCCUGCUUUUGUGGGGUGCUCGAGUGGCGAACGGGUGAGUAACACGUGAGUAACCUGCCCUUGACUUUGGGAUAACUUCAGGAAACUGGGGCUAAUACCGGAUAGGAGCUCCUGCUGCAUGGUGGGGGUUGGAAAGUUUCGGCGGUUGGGGAUGGACUCGCGGCUUAUCAGCUUGUUGGUGGGGUAGUGGCUUACCAAGGCUUUGACGGGUAGCCGGCCUGAGAGGGUGACCGGCCACAUUGGGACUGAGAUACGGCCCAGACUCCUACGGGAGGCAACAGUGGGGAAUAUUGCACAAUGGGCGGAAGCCUGAUGCAGCAACGCCGCGUGCGGGAUGACGGCCUUCGGGUUGUAAACCGCUUUCGCCUGUGACGAAGCGUGAGUGACGGUAAUGGGUAAAGAAGCACCGGCUAACUACGUGCCAGCAGCCGCGGUGAUACGUAGGGUGCGAGCGUUGUCCGGAUUUAUUGGGCGUAAAGGGCUCGUAGGUGGUUGAUCGCGUCGGAAGUGUAAUCUUGGGGCUUAACCCUGAGCGUGCUUUCGAUACGGGUUGACUUGAGGAAGGUAGGGGAGAAUGGAAUUCCUGGUGGAGCGGUGGAAUGCGCAGAUAUCAGGAGGAACACCAGUGGCGAAGGCGGUUCUCUGGGCCUUUCCUGACGCUGAGGAGCGAAAGCGUGGGGAGCGAACAGGCUUAGAUACCCCGGUAGUCCACGCUGUAAACGGUGGGUACUAGGUGUGGGGUCCAUUCCACGGGUUCCGUGCCGUAGCUAACGCUUUAAGUACCCCGCCUGGGGAGUACGGCCGCAAGGCUAAAACUCAAAGGAAUUGACGGGGCCCCGCACAAGCGGCGGAGCAUGCGGAUUAAUUCGAUGCAACGCGUAGAACCUUACCUGGGUUUGACAUGGAUCGGGAGUGCUCAGAGAUGGGUGUGCCUCUUUUGGGGUCGGUUCACAGGUGGUGCAUGGCUGUCGUCAGCUCGUGUCGUGAGAUGUUGGGUUAAGUCCCGCAACGAACGCAACCCUUGUUCACUGUUGCCAGCACGUUAUGGUGGGGACUCAGUGGAGACCGCCGGGGUCAACUCGGAGGAAGGUGGGGAUGACGUCAAGUCAUCAUGCCCCUUAUGUCCAGGGCUUCACGCAUGCUACAAUGGCUGGUACAGAGAGUGGCGAGCCUGUGAGGGUGAGCGAAUCUCGGAAAGCCGGUCUCAGUUCGGAUUGGGGUCUGCAACUCGACCUCAUGAAGUCGGAGUCGCUAGUAAUCGCAGAUCAGCAACGCUGCGGUGAAUACGUUCCCGGGGCU